rnacentral:rRNA from 1 species
AACGAACGCUAGCGGCGUGCCUAACACAUGCAAGUCGCACGAGAAAUCCCGGGCAACUGGGAGAGUAAAGUGGCGCACGGGUGAGUAGCGCGUGGGUAAUCUACCCUGAAGUUGGGAAUAACACCUCGAAAGGGGUGCUAAUACCCAAUAACGUCCCCGAGACCCGGUCUUGAGGACCAAAGAUGGCUGAGGCUUGCAAGCUAUUGCUUUAGGAUGAGCCCGCGUCCCAUUAGCUAGUUGGCGGGGUAACGGCCCACCAAGGCGACGAUGGGUAGCUGGUCUGAGAGGAUGAUCAGCCACACUGGAACUGAGACACGGUCCAGACUCCUACGGGAGGCAG